rnacentral:rRNA from 1 species
GACGAACGCUGGCGGCGUGCUUAACACAUGCAAGUCGAACGGAAAGGCCCUUCGGGGUACUCGAGUGGCGAACGGGUGAGUAACACGUGGGUGAUCUGCCUCGUACUCUGGGAUAAGCCUGGGAAACUGGGUCUAAUACUGGAUGUGACCAUUCUUCGCAUGGGGUUUGGUGGAAAGUUUUUCGGUACGAGAUGGGCCCGCGGCCUAUCAGCUUGUUGGUGGGGUAAUGGCCUACCAAGGCGACGACGGGUAGCCGGCCUGAGAGGGCGACCGGCCACACUGGGACUGAGACACGGCCCAGACUCCUACGGGAGGCAGCAGUGGGGAAUAUUGCACAAUGGGCGCAAGCCUGAUGCAGCGACGCCGCGUGAGGGAUGACGGCCUUCGGGUUGUAAACCUCUUUCACCAGGGGCGAAUGUGACGGUACCUGGAGAAGAAGCACCGGCCAACUACGUGCCAGCCGCCGCCGUAACAC